GGUGAUUGGAAACUCUGCCUCCUCUUUCUGAUUGGUGUACACACCGCAUCCCGUGUGUUGAGAGGCUCAGCGAUCCUGGAGAAGUCUGGCACAAAUCGAUGGUACCACCCAGCCAAUCCUAGGAAACGCUGGACUUCUUUAAGGUUGCGUGGAACAGGAUACGUGCGAAUUGCUUCCACCUUACUGGGAUCAGCGGUAAUUCCCUGUCCGUUCACUACAUGACCAAGGAAGUUGAUCUCCUGUCGACAAAACUUGCAUUUUUUUAGGUUUAAUGUCAACCCAGCUGUUUGCAACCGUUGAAGGAUGCUCUCAAUGUCAAGGAAAUGCUGGGUCAUAGAUGGUGGGAGCCGAUAGGGCCGUUGUUUACUGGGUACGGGAUGACGAGUGUACAGACAGUGCUGAAGAACCGUCGUACGUCCGGGUCGACGAGUACACACCGUCUGAUAGGACUCCAAGAGGUGGUGUAGCUGAACUUCUUCAUUGUGGGGUAAAUUUGCUUCUUUUACAGCAUUGUCAAUUAAUACUUGAUCCUCUGUAGCGGUAGGGUCUGCAUCUCGAGAUGCCCGUAGAGGUUGUGGAGGAGGAACAGAACUUAGUAACGAAAGAUUUUGUUGGGAACUCCUAGAUUUCUUUGGUUUUCGUUGGCAUGGAUCUCUACUGGCAGGUAUACUUGCUUGUCC
ensembl:lncRNA